rnacentral:tRNA from 1 species
GUUUAUGUAGUUUAAAGUAAAACUUUACAUUUUCACUGUAAAAAUAUUAUUUAAUAAUAAUCAUAAAAU